AUCUUCAUGGGGUAAUGCAACUCACUCCCGCCUUUUAUGAUGCGACAUUACUACAUCAUACAGGCACGGGAGAGUCGGUGGUUCGAAUCCAUCCGGAGAUA